UACAGAGGGUGCAAGCGUUGUUCGGAAUUAUUGGGCGUAAAGCGCGUGUAGGCGGCGAUGCAAGUCGGGUGUGAAAGCCCUCAGCUUAACUGAGGAAGUGCGCCCGAAACUGCGUUGCUUGAGUCCUGGAGAGGGUGGCGGAAUUCCCCAAGUAGAGGUGAAAUUCGUAGAUAUGGGGAGGAACACCGGUGGCGAAGGCGGCCACCUGGACGGGUACUGACGCUGAGACGCGAAAGCGUGGGUAGCAAACAGG
rnacentral:rRNA from 1 species